GGGGCUGACUUGGUUUCGACAUUUAAAAAUUGUUACAGUAUGAUGCAGGUCGAAGUUUCUAAUCUUCGUAAAAAAAGAGAAAUUUAUAAUAAAUGCUAAUAAUUUAAUUUCUUCUGUGUUUAAAAGUUUAUCAACUAAGCAAAAUAGUUUAAAUUUAAGUUUUGCUGUUUAAGUUUUAUGCACAUUUAAUGAUCUAGUAAAUAACUUUGUUCGCUAUAAUUUAUAUUUAUAACUAGACUUUUGUCUUUUUUAUAGUUUAGAAUAACUUUAUCAUUUCAAACCUCGUUCCAUCUAGUUGAACUAAACCUGUGAACGAAUACUAUAAUAAAAUUUUUAGAUGGACGUGGGUUCGACUCCCAUCAGCUCCAUAU
rnacentral:tmRNA from 1 species